rfam:Streptomyces sp. CMAA 1322 contig11, whole genome shotgun sequence.
GCCGGUCCUCGGUAGUGGCCCCCGGAACGGGGAAUUCCGGGUGCUUCGAUCGAAGACCGGC